UACGUAGGGUGCAAGCGUUGUCCGGAAUUAUUGGGCGUAAAGAGCUUGUAGGCGGUUUGUCGCGUCUGCUGUGAAAUUUCGGGGCUCAACCCCGAACUUGCAGUGGGUACGGGCAGACUAGAGUGUGGUAGGGGAGACUGGAAUUCCUGGUGUAGCGGUGAAAUGCGCAGAUAUCAGGAGGAACACCGAUGGCGAAGGCAGGUCUCUGGGCCAUAACUGACGCUGAGAAGCGGAAAGCAUGGGGAGCGAAACAGG
rnacentral:rRNA from 1 species